GCCUUCGUGGUGUAACGGUAGCACACUCGGCCCGUAUUCGAGAGGUCCAGGUUCGAGUCCCGGCGAAGACA
rnacentral:tRNA from 1 species